ACUAAUACAUGCAAGUCGGAACGCACUCUCGUUUAGAUUGAAGGAGCUUGCUCCUGAUUGAUAAACAUUUGAGUGAGUGGCGGACGGGUGAGUAACACGUGGGUAACCUGCCCUAAAGUGGGGGAUAACAUUUGGAAACAGAUGCUAAUACCGCAUAAAACCUAACACCGCAUGGUGUAGGGUUGAAAGAUGGUUUCGGCUAUCACUUUAGGAUGGACCCGCGGUGCAUUAGUUAGUUGGUGAGGUAAAGGCUCACCAAGACCGUGAUGCAUAGCCGACCUGAGAGGGUAAUCGGCCACACUGGGACUGAGACACGGCCCAGACUCCUACGGGAGGCAGCAGUAGGGAAUCUUCCACAAUGGACGAAAGUCUGAUGGAGCAACGCCGCGUGAGUGAAGAAGGUUUUCGGAUCGUAAAACUCUGUUGUUGGAGAAGAAUGUAUCUGAUAGUAACUGAUCAGGU
rnacentral:rRNA from 1 species